AUUGAACGCUGGCGGCAGGCCUAACACAUGCAAGUCGAGCGAGCGGCGGACGGGUGAGUAAUGUAUGGGGACUGCCCGAUAGAGGUGGAUCACUACUGGAAACGGUAGCUAAUACCGCAUACUAUCGGAUAACCCAUAUGGGAUUAGCUAGUAGGUGAGGUAAUGUCUCACCUAGGCGACGAUCCCUAGCUGGUCUGAGAGGAUGAUCAGCCAAACUGGGACUGAGACACGGCCCAGACGCCUACGGAGGCAGCAGUGGGGAAUAUUGCACAAUGGGCGCAAGCCGGAUGCAGCCAUGUCGCGUGUAUGAAGAAGGCCCUAGGGUUGUAAAGUACGUUCAGUCGGGAGGCGUUACCGACAGAAGAAGCACCGGCUAACUCCGUGCCAGCAGCCGCGGUAAUAC
rnacentral:rRNA from 1 species